GGUUAAGCGACUAAGCGUACACGGUGGAUGCCCUGGCAGUCAGAGGCGAUGAAGGACGUGCUAAUCUGCGAUAAGCGCCGGUAAGGUGAUAUGAACCGUUAUAACCGGCGAUUUCCGAAUGGGGAAACCCAGUGUGACUCGUCACACUAUCAUUAACUGAAUCCAUAGGUUAAUGAGGCGAACCGGGGGAACUGAAACAUCUAAGUACCCCGAGGAAAAGAAAUCAACCGAGAUUCCCCCAGUAGCGGCGAGCGAACGGGGAGGAGCCCAGAGCCUGAAUCAGCAUGUGUGUUAGUGGAAGCGUCUGGAAAGGCGCGCGAUACAGGGUGACAGCCCCGUACACAAAAGCGCAUGUGCUGUGAGCUCGAUGAGUAGGGCGGGACACGUGGUAUCCUGUCUGAAUAUGGGGGGACCAUCCUCCAAGGCUAAAUACUCCUGACUGACCGAUAGUGAACCAGUACCGUGAGGGAAAGGCGAAAAGAACCCCGGCGAGGGGAGUGAAAAAGAACCUGAAACCGUGUACGUACAAGCAGUGGGAGCCCCACCACCAAAGCAUUCUCUGGUGUUGAAGGCCCUGCAAAGCAGCAUCGCGGUGGCGGAGCGUCGUUUGCGACGCCCAACACACAAAACAAGCGGUGAGUGCUUUGGGGUGGGGUGACUGCGUACCUUUUGUAUAAUGGGUCAGCGACUUAUAUUCUGUAGCAAGGUUAACCGUAUAGGGGAGCCGGAGGGAAACCGAGUCUUAAUUGGGCGUUAAGUUGCAGGGUAUAGACCCGAAACCCGGUGAUCUAGCCAUGGGCAGGUUGAAGGUUGGGUAACACUAACUGGAGGACCGAACCGACUAAUG
rnacentral:rRNA from 1 species